CACGUAGGGCGCGAGCGUUGUCCGGAAUUAUUGGGCGUAAAGGGCGCGUAGGCGGCGUGGUAAGUCACUUGUGAAAUCUCUGAGCUUAACUCAGAACGGUCAAGUGAUACUGCUGUGCUAGAGUGCGGAAGGGGCAAUCGGAAUUCUUGGUGUAGCGGUGAAAUGCGUAGAUAUCAAGAGGAACACCUGAGGUGAAGACGGGUUGCUGGGCCGACACUGACGCUGAUGCGCGAAAGCCAGGGGAGCAAACGGG
rnacentral:rRNA from 1 species